rnacentral:lncRNA from 1 species
AUUCACAAAGGUGGAUUCUGCAAAAUCCACGGAUUAAUCCACGGAUUUUGUUGAGUCCACAGUCCACGGAUUCGCUUUUGUGAUUCACAAAGGUGGACUCGACCGAAUCCACGGAUUCUACCAAGUCCAUUACGUCACGAUUUCGAGUCAACUGUUUGGGGUGGUCUGAAACAGUGGACUCCACAGAAUCCGUGGAUUCUAGGCGUAAUUGGCCAAUCACAGCGCAGCAUUUGGGUACAUCUUGUGCAUGCAGACAACAACCGCUGGACGAUAAUUUUGCAGCAAAAUUUAAGGUGGAAGACUGGACGUGAAAGUGGUGGAAAAAAUACAUGCUGGACCGAGCUCCGAGAAAAUUAACAAAAAAUGGCAGAAUAUCACCGUGCUCAUUUAAUGCAUCUUGAUCGUGUCAACAGCCUCAGAGAGGUAGCCAACAGGCCCAGACCCUGACAGGAUUACAGGAAUGAAUGAAUCCUUUUGAGUUGUACAUGGAUGAAGCCUUUCGAAUGCGGUAUCGCUUCUCAAAAGAGACUGCACUCCAUCUCAUCAACACGCUUGACGGUGAUCUGAGGAGGAAUACAGAAUGUAGUGAACCUCUACCUGUUGUCAUAGGUGUCAUCGAUGGGACUCAUGUCUACAUUAGGAGUCCUGGUGGGGAACAAGCCCUGUACUUCCUUAAUCGGAAGAACAGGUAUUCCGUCAGUGUGCAGAUUGCAUUUGUAAUAUAAAUGUAGACUCUGUUAUGCCAGUCUGAACUUUUGGGAAAGGGUUGAUAAUGUGACUUGUACUCCUAUCAUCAUUCCAAUGUCACUAAAGUAUAAUAGCGGUCAUUGAUUAUUUUUAAGCAUUGACAUUUAGAUUGUUUUAUUUAGCACCCUCUCUUUGUAAUGUACUGUACAGUACUUAUUUGUCCUUUAAAUAUGCUCUUGAGCAUUUUCCUUACAAAUUCAUUAAUCUUGAUAUUAGACGCUACAGACUAAGAAUUUAAGUGAGUCUGUCGAUAAUUGUGUUUGAUAUAUCAAUAUAUCUUUAAGUUAAGUGUGAAAAUUAUCCAGACAAAGACCAAAUCCUUCUAACUAGGUUUACUUUAAAAAUAAAUAGUCACUUUCUUACUGUCAUGCUCUUCGUGUAUUUUUCAAUUGAUAAUACUGAAGUCAUGUAUCAAUAUUCAAUAAAUACUUAAUCAUCAUACAGAGUGAUGAAUAUAAGUACAUUAAUAACAUAAAUAUAAUAUAGUAUUACCCCUAUCUGACGUCUGAGCUGGACAUUUAAAAUGUAUUGCCCUAGUUUUCAUGAAUAUUGAUAAUGAGUCAGGUACUGUAUACUAUAUUUGUUUUUCUUGGUCUUUAUAGUACAAUGUCAUCCAUUGCAACAUAAUUCCUAAUUUAUGAAUAGAUAUGUCUAUAUACAGUUUUUAUGAUAUCAAUAUUCAAAUGAAUUUUCCCAACCACAUCAACAAAUCAAGAACUUCUGUUAUUUCUUUAUCUAUGAGUAUUUAAUAUAAUCUGCAGUACUGUUGAUACAACAUAAACCCCUCAAAAAAAGUUUGUAAAUCUGUAUUUGGCAAUUAAUUUCUCCCAACUCCCAAUUUUACGUAAUGCA